GAGACUGAGUCUCGCUCUGUCGCCCAGACUGGAGUGCAGUGGCACGACCUCUGCUCACUGCAAACUCCAAUUCCCAGGUUCACACCAUUCUCCUGCCUCAGCCUCCCAAGUAGCUGGGACUACAGGUGCCUGCCACCACACCCAGCUAAUUUUUUGUAUUUUUAGUAGAGAUGGAGUUUCACCAUGUUAGCCAGGAUGGUCUUGAUCUCCUGACCUCAUGAUCCGCCCACCUUGGCCUCCCAAAGUGCUGGGAUUACAGGCAUGAGCCACCGCACCCGACGAGGUCUGAUGGUUUUAUAAGGGGCUCUCCCUGCUUCGCUUAACACUUCUCCUUCCUGCUGCCUUGUGAAGAAGAUGCCUUGCUUCUCUUUCACCUUCUGCCAUGAUUGUAAGUUUCCUGAGGCCUCCCCAGCCAUGCUGUGAACUGUGAGUCAAUUAAACCUCUUUCCUUUAUAAGUUACCUAGUCUCGGGCAGUUCUUUACAGCAGUAUGAACCUGGAUUAAUAUACCUAGUAAUCAAUCCAUUACCAAGUCAUGGAAGGUCUACCUGCAACAUUUUCUUUGUAAGCCACUAUCAUCUCUUGUCCAACAACUGCCAACAUUUCCCAACUAAUUUCCCUAAUUCCAUUGAACAUACCAACAAUGUUCAUAAAGAAAGGCGAAGAGGAUAAGACAGAAAUGUGUAUCUGUAACAGGAGAUAUUUUGGUUUUGUUUUGUUUGAGAAAGAGUCUCACUCUGUCACCCAGGCUGGAGUGCAGUGGCGCGAUCUCAGCUCUGGAGGCUCCUGGAGGGUGGCACGCCCGGGGAGGGCAUGGAAACUCCAUGCUCCUUCUCCUACACCUCGCCCUAUGCACCUGCUCAUCUGUACCCUUUGUAACAUCCUUUGUAAUAAACUGGUAAAUGUGUUAUCCUGAGCUCUGUGAGCCACUCCAGCAAACUGAGCCCAAAGAGGGAGUUAUGGAAACCCCUACCUGGAGCCAGUUGGUCAGAAAUUCUGGAGGCCUGAGGCCCUGACCUGCAGCUAGUGCCUGAAAGUGGGGAGGCAGAUUUGGGACUGAACUAGUGCCUGAAGGGAGGCAGGCUUGGGGACUCAGCCCUCAACUCAUGGAAUCUGAUGCUAUCUCUGGGUAAAUAGUGUUGGAAUUAAAUCAGAGGACACCCAGCGGGUGUCUGCUGCUUGGUGUGUGGGGAAGAAACCCAACACAUUUGGUCACAGAACUCUUCUGUGGUCAUGAUUGUGGUGAUGUGAGAGCAUAGGAAGCACACAGUUUGCAUUUUUCCCAAACAAUGCCAUAAAAUAUAUACAAACCUUUCCAUAUGGUAGAUCACAAAGAAAAAAACCUCAUUCUUUUUUUUUUUUUGAGACAGGGUCUCCCUCCGUCGCCCAGGCUGCAGUGCAGUGGCGCGAUCUCAGCUCACUGCAACCUCCACCUCCUGGGUUCAAGCGAUUCUCCUGCCUCAGCCCCGAGUAGCUGGGAUUACAGGCACGUGCCACCAUGCCUGGCUAAUUUUUGUACUUUUAGUAGAGAGGGUUUCACCAUGUUGGCCAGACUGGUCUCUGACCUCAAGUGAUCCACCCGCCUCGGCCUCCCAAAGUGCUGGGAUUACAGGCGGGAGCCUAAGACAGGAGAAUCACUUGAACCCCGGAGGCGGAGGUUGCAGUGAGCCGAUUGGGCCACUGCACUCUAGCCUGGAUGACAGAGCAAGACUCUGUCUCAAAAAAAAAAAAAAAAAAAAGCUUGUUAAGAAAAGCAGUUUGUAACCAGGGAGAGUGAAAGCCAUCUGGAUGCGAGGAUGUUGGCUACCUUGGGAGGGGACUGGGUGGUAACUGGUAGGAGGCUCAGGGGGCUUUGCUGGUUAUGCUGUUUCCCGACCUGGAUGCUGAUUAUGUGACUGUGCUCCCUUUGUGAAAUCCAUGGAGCUGUCCACUUAUGUGCACUUUUCUGUAUGUCU
rnacentral:lncRNA from 1 species